GUCAUUUUCCAAAAAUGAACACAUUUGUGUUGAAAAGUUUGUAGCUUUAUUGAAUUUCAAAGAAGGGUCUUUGGUUUUCUUGAGUUUUUGAGUUUUGGGGGUUUGAAAUUUUUGGCUUGUUUGUGUUCUUGAUUGAGGGGUUAUUUUAGAAAAAAGAGAUCUGUUUCCUUUUAUUUCUUUUUUAAAAGUUUUCUUGUUAGGUAAAAGGGUAAUAAAAUCCUGUUA
rnacentral:misc_RNA from 1 species